rnacentral:rRNA from 1 species
UACGGGGGGUGCGAGCGUUGUCCGGAAUCACUGGGCGUAAAGGGCGCGUAGGUGGUUUGAUAAGGGUGUGGUGAAAGUCCGGGGCUCAACCCCGGAUCUGCCGUGCCGACUGUCAAACUCGAGGGCUGUAGAGGCAGACGGAAUUCCGGGUGUAGCGGUGGAAUGCGCAGAUAUCAGGAGGAACACCAAUGGCGAAGGCAGCUCGCUGGGACGGUACUGACGCUGAGACGCGAAAGCGUGGGGAGCGAACCGG